AUGAACUGGACAGACAAGAUGCAUCACUGUCACAUCACGGCUGGACUGACAGGCAGCCAGGGCGGCCAUGACAGGCGAGAUGAUCUGUGCUGACCUGAUGCUGGGUCAGACGGAAGGAGAGCCAGGUGGCCGACUGAUUGGAAUGGACACAUUUGGGAUUGUCAAAUGAUCGGGAUCAAGGUCCCGGUCAUCAUAUAUCUGAUAGUGAUCAAAAACUGCUUCAAGGCAUUUCCGACAAUCGGUUUGAGCAAAAACAAGCCUUGCCUCGUCAGGUCCAGGCUAUAUUUUGGCCUUUGUUGUGGCGGACAUCCAUAAAGAAGUGUAAUCUCAUUUUGAUCUGGAACACCUGCAUUAUAUGUUAUGAUCCAAUAAAGUUAUCUAAGAUACAAGAUUAUUAUGUUCAUUUUAUUGUAAUCUACGCUGUCAUCCUGACUGUAGGAAGUCUGGUGGGACAAUUGAGUGAGAUUAGGUUCUUCUCUUCGUUUGGGAGGGGAAAGCGAGACACACCUGCCUGAGAUAUGCAAUCCACUGAGUGCACUUAUCUAGAUUUAACAUAGAAUCAGAUGACAACUUGUAAAUAUGAAAUGGGUUGCUUGUAGUGAUGAACUCACCGAGAACCCAAUUCUGAAGUGCCUCUCAGCUCCACAGAGCUAUUCCUGCCUUUUUAAGCUCAUUUUUCUUGACUUCCCAGUUGUUUUGGUGUGUCAGAAAUUGUUUUAAAAGUUUGUUUCACUUCCUCCCAAUGGACUACUGAAUUUGAGUACGCAGUUGAAGAGUUUAAGUUAUAAGUGGAAAGCAGGCUAAGAAAUGUGCAGCUUCACCGUGUGAACAGGGAUUGCCAAUUGUGUUGGUAACAGUAUUACUUAAUUUAUGACUGACAUUAUUCAUGAUUAUCUCAAUCUACCCUUGGUGUAACCUUAUCAGACAUCUCUAAUAAUGUU